rnacentral:rRNA from 1 species
AGUGAACGCUGGCGGUAGGCCUAACACAUGCAAGUCGAACGGCAGCACAGUAAGAGCUUGCUCUUACGGGUGGCGAGUGGCGGACGGGUGAGGAAUACAUCGGAAUCUACUUUUUCGUGGGGGAUAACGUAGGGAAACUUACGCUAAUACCGCAUACGACCUACGGGUGAAAGCAGGGGAUCUUCGGACCUUGCGCGAUUGAAUGAGCCGAUGUCGGAUUAGCUAGUUGGCGGGGUAAAGGCCCACCAAGGCGACGAUCCGUAGCUGGUCUGAGAGGAUGAUCAGCCACACUGGAACUGAGACACGGUCCAGACUCCUACGGGAGGCAGCAGUGGGGAAUAUGGACAAUGGGCGCAAGCCUGAUCCAGCCAUACCGCGUGGGUGAAGAAGGCCUUCGGGUUGUAAAGCCCUUUUGUUGGGAAAGAAAAGCAGCAGGUUAAUACCCCGCUGUUCUGACGGUACCCAAAGAAUAAGUACCGGCUAACUUCGUG